UUUGUAAUUUGCUGAACAUCAGAGAAGAUUUCAUAAAAAGCAACUCUAAAUGGACUCCUUUCUUCUCCUAUUCACAUUGCUUUGUCUAAAAGCAGAUUUCAGUGACGGUGUUCUGAUCACUCAAUGGCCGAAAUACAUAUCCAGACUUCCAGGCUUCUCAGUUGAAAUACACUGUUACCAAAAUGAUACAAAUUAUGAAUACAAAUACUGGUACAGACAAAUAAAAGGAGAGCUAGUGCUUGUUGGGAGCUACAUUGUUAGCUCUGGCUCGACUGAGAAGGAUUUUGGAACCGGUUUUACAGUGUCAGGUACAGAGAAGAAGCAAUGGACCCUGAAAGUGGAUGUUAAGGAGGGGAUUGAUGCUGUGUAUCUGUGUGCUGCUAGUUUACACAGUGAAUAAACACUAAUAAAUUGUACAACAAAAACCCAUUGGAUGGCAACCUCUAAAUCCCACCUGUCUCAACCACAAAAAAAUAAACCCAUAUCUCUACAGACAAGUCAGCAGAACCUUACAACCCGCACAUACAGUAGAAUUACAUUAAUCAUUUUACACCCCUCCCUUAUGCCAAAAGCACUUUCACACAAAGGUCUUGUUGAUGUGACGCAGUCAGUAGGGGGAGAUGUGACUUUAAUGUACAGGUAUUCCUCUCUCUCUGUUGAUAUUAAAGUCUUGUACUCUCUCUCUCACCUUGUCAGAUUAUUUUUGCUGUGUGCAUAGCCAGAGUAUUUUUUAACCCUGUUUUAGAAGGAUGUUCAGAGCUGCGUAUGGACUGUGCGUUUAUUUAUUAUUAUAUAUAGGGAUGGUGCGAUGUGUGACCGUUCAACAGAACCCCACAUCCAUUUUAGCCAACGAGAAAUCUGCAGUGAUAAAUUGUAGUUAUGAUGACAGUAACAUGGAUUAUAUGCAAUGGUAUCAGCAGAAGGAUACAGCCAUGGUCUUGAUCGUCUUCAGUUUCAGUGCUACAAGUGAACCCACGUUUGAAGAUGGAUUUAAAGGCCGGA